rnacentral:rRNA from 1 species
GGUCUCCGUUGGUGAACCAGCGGAGGGAUCAUUACCGAGUUUACAACUCCCAAACCCAAUGUGAACCAUACCAAACUGUUGCCUCGGCGGGGUCACGCCCCGGGUGCGUCGCAGCCCCGGAACCAGGCGCCCGCCGGAGGGACCAACCAAACUCUUUCUGUAGUCCCCUCGCGGACGUUAUUUCUUACAGCUCUGAGCAAAAAUUCAAAAUGAAUCAAAACUUUCAACAACGGAUCUCUUGGUUCUGGCAUCGAUGAAGAACGCAGCGAAAUGCGAUAAGUAAUGUGAAUUGCAGAAUUCAGUGAAUCAUCGAAUCUUUGAACGCACAUUGCGCCCGCCAGUAUUCUGGCGGGCAUGCCUGUCCGAGCGUCAUUUCAACCCUCGAACCCCUCCGGGGGUCCGGCGUUGGGGAUCGGGAACCCCUAAGACGGGAUCCCGGCCCCGAAAUACAGUGGCGGUCUCGCCGCAGCCUCUCAUGCGCAGUAGUUUGCACAACUCGCACCGGGAGCGCGGCGCGUCCACGUCCGUAAAACACCCAACUUCUGAAAUGUUGACCUCGGAUCAGGUAGGAAUACCCGCUGAACUUAAGCAU